UAUUAGCAGAACAUGACUAAAGGCCUUUUUAUAGUUGUGCGUCGAAUCAACAGCGUACCCCCGCAGACCCCUCUGCGUCUACCCUAUGGCGUAGCCUGACGUGCACCUCUCGAAAAAUUUA